GGCCCGGGGGAGGCAGGUGGAGGGGGGGCAGGCGCGCUGACAGCCGCGCCGUUGCGAUGAGUCAUGCGAAGGCAGCCAGACGCGUAGGUUCCUCACAGGAACCCGAAGGAAACCUGAGAGCGCGUUCCCUGUUACCUAAUCUCUGCCUCAGGAUUUCCCUGCGCUCAUCGUUUCCGGCGCCGGUGUCGCCUCCGCGGGCUCGCAGCCAGGACGGGGCCGCAGGGUUUCUGGGUACUGCAUCAUCAGUGAGUCACAAGCCUCAAGAGAAUGCAUAUCAAUGCAUGUGCGCUGCGCUGGCUCCCCCUCCUCUUGCGCUGCAAUACGUAGGAAGCCGCCGUUCCCAAGCGGAGCGUUUGCUGACAUCACAUGCGGAGACUCCAGAGAUGGAUUGCACUUUAAAACAGUCGUUUUGGUGAAGCGCUGCAAGGCUCUCCCGCUCACCUGCGCGCAGCCCUGGGACCUCGGAAUCCUUGCCUUGCUGGUCUCCAUCAGGUCAGCCCCAUGUGCUCUGGUAUUCAUUACAGCACGGAGAAAGAAGAAAAUGAUUCAACUGUAAUGAAGACCUAGACCCUCUCGGCAUCUUGCCAGAGCUUGCUCCACGAUAUCCAAGCUGAGAUUAAAGAUUUUGGCUAUCAGACACAGUUUCGAGACAGAGAUCAAAACGCAUUUUACAAUGGGUACAAAUUCUACACCAGAAUGUUUCCAACUGUAUCGAAUAUGAGAGAAAAAUGCUACUGUAAAAUAAGAUAUUUCUGUGUUAAACUGGCUGUAGAUUAAUAUUUGACCUUCUUUCUAAAUAUAUCCAGUAGAAAUGUCUAGGAACAUCCAGCUUAGCUAUCACUAGAGGGAAAGAAAGCUGUCCCCUUCAUAAAGCUCUUGCCUUAAUACUUUGCAGCAUCUGUGCUUUUUUUUUCAUAAAUAAGAACUUCCCUUCUGCUAGGAAGCUGAAUACGAGUUUAGAGAUUAAUGCUCUUCUGAAAUCUUAGAGCAGACUGUUUCUAAGGCUUACCAAUCAAUGGGGAAAAAGAAUAUAUACUUAGGGGAGGCAACAGGAUUGAUUUUUCUUGGGGUUUUGCUGCCGAUGCCUCCCUCAAUAGUUCCUUUGGCUACAACCAACCAUGCAGGAGUAGGAGCUGCUUUAGCUUUUACGAUGGGACUGUUGAAAUAGCAUCCCUUUAGAGAGGGUCAUAAAAAUCCCCUUGGAAUCCAGCAGCUCAAUACUUGCACCAAGUCUAUGGAGUAAAUUCCCAUCUUUGCACCACUCUGAAAUGCUCAACUUGAGAUAUCGCGGUUUAGGAUCAGGGGAAUAUCUCUUAGCUUAAAUAUUUUACCAACUGCUACCAAGUUUCAUUUUUGCAGGAGUACACACGACUCAGUUUAACAGCACUGUGUGGUUACACCCAUUCUGGUGAGAGUCACAAUCAGUUUAUGGUCAAUAUGAGGUUAUGCCAAGCUAAAUGUUUGUAAAAGAAAAUAUGUGCAAGACAAUAUGUGAUAUCUUUGAAUUAUAACCUACUCUGAAUGU